rnacentral:rRNA from 1 species
GCUCAGGACGAACGCUGGCGGCGUGCUUAACACAUGCAAGUCGAACGAUGAUGCUCCUGCUUGCACCACUGGAUCAGUGGCGAACGGGUGAGUAACACGUGAGYAACCUGCCCCCCACUUYGGGAUAACCUCKGGAAAUSGYGUCUAAUACCGGAUACGARCMCKCCYCGCAUGGKSAUKGYUGGAAARAUUUWUCGGUGGGGGAUGGACUCGCGGCCUAUCAGYUUGUUGGUGAGGUGAUGGCUCACCAAGGCGAYGACGGGUAGCCGGCCUGAGAGGGCGACCGGCCACACUGGGACUGAGACACGGCCCAGACUCCUACGGGAGGCAGCAGUGGGGAAUAUUGCACAAUGGGCGAAAGCCUGAUGCAGCGACGCCGCGUGRGGGAUGACGGCCUUCGGGUUGUAAACCCCUUUCAGYAGGGAAGAAGCGAGAGUGACGGUACCUGCAGAAGAAGCGCCGGCUAACUACGUGCCAGCAGCCGCGGUAAUACGUAGGGYGCRAGCGUUGUCCGGAAUUAUUGGGCGUAAAGAGCUUGUAGGUGGYUUGUCGCGUCUGCCGUGAAAAUCCGRGGCUCAACCUCGGRCGUGCGGUGGGUACGGGCAGRCUAGAGUGUGGUAGGGGAGACUGGAACUCCUGGUGUAGCGGUGAAAUGCGCAGAUAUCAGGARGAACACCGAUGGCGAAGGCAGGUCUCUGGGCCACUACUGACACUGAGAAGCGAAAGCAUGGGUAGCGAACAGGAUUA